CUUACUCUUCCAUUUCGAAUGCAGUGCUGCGCCAGAGCGUGGCACAGAAGCCGCAUUCCGCUGAGUAAUAUUAGGCAAGGGUGGUUCUGGCAGGACUUCAGCAGAAGUGUGCCAGCAUGUGGCCUGUGUGGACCAGAAGGUUGCGAACAGGGCAUCCAGCUUCUCCAGAAGAGUUAGCUGCAAGUAUCGAGUUAAAAACAGUUCGUUUCAGAGCAAUGGACGUCUCCCAAUACUGGG